UUUGCUUUUGUUUUUAUUGCCUGCUAAGGCGUGACUUUAAAAAGUGUCUCCAGUAGCCAGUCUAGCAGUGGAGAGGUAGAGGCAGGUGGGUCUAUGUAGUUCAAUAUGAGUGCUAGAAGCUGUAUGAAUACUUCUGAUCGCAUUCAUAUUCAAGUCCUUUCCAGCUGUGAUUGUAACCCAAUAAGGUCUUAGAAAAAAACUGAUCUUGUCCAAUGAUUGGGAGUUGGCUGGGUCCAAUCAAGAUCAAAGAAAAGCCCGUUGGCCAGGAGUCUGGGUGGGAGCCUGCUUUCAUGAAAUUUCCCUGUUCAAUCUGAUCACAUGAGGCUGCAGCGCGCUGGGUGCAGCGCCCCCUGCAGACGCAGAGCGGGAUGUGCAGGACGUGUGCGCACCAAAGCACAACGUAGAAGCUCUCGGAAGAGACGCAGCACGUGCCAAUUGUAUUUGGCUGAGCACUCGAGGUAGCCACAGCGCCAGCCCCUUCGAACUAGAGUGGCCAGUGCACGACGAGGUCCGAAGCGCAGCCGCUGACGGUCCCGCUUGUUGCCCACCACCAGGAUGGGUGCCUCUGGCGCUCCCGCCGGCCUGGAGGCCCGAUGGAGAUGAGAGACGCAGUGCUGGAGACUCCAUGGCCAGAGGAACCCACCCAAUGUGUACAAGUGAAGGCGGGACCCUCCUAGGGCCUGAGACUCCCUGGUGUGCUGCAUACCUCAUACAGCAAGAGACCCUCAAGUGGGCACAAAGUAUGCUCCAGAAACAACCAGACUAUACCCGCUCCCCUGGCAAGACCUCCACCUCCAGUCAAGCCCUCACCUGUUUUCUGCUAUGCGUUGCCUCAGGGCUUUCACAUAAUCGAAACUGUCCGGGCUGCAGAUGUCGUAGACCAGCACAAAGGCAUCCGUGUCCUGCAAGCUCCAGUCUUUAGGGUCCGGCCACUCCUAAGGGUAGAGGCUGGGGCUUACAGCAGACCCUCCUACUCCAGUUCAUCCUUCCCCAUCACCUACCAACAACACUCAGGACGCACCCUCCCACAGGCCAGAUUUCCCAGCCCUGUCUGGAUCUUGUCAGUCCUUAACUCCCCUACUUACUGGGCCUCUAAUUAAACUACUAUCCACCCAACGUAUGCUCCUACUGCCUCUAAUUCCCAGUGCAGCUGUACGGGUAAAGCCCUCUGGCCUAAACGCCUGCUGCUCUUUCCCCCAUGCAUUAUUCUUACAGCUUCUUUUACCGAAACUUCACUUAGCCUCCCAGGUGCUGCUCAAAUGCCAGCUCCUGUGGGAAGCCCUGAAAUGCAUCCAGCGCCAAAGACUGGGAGUCUGAGGGUGCAGUGGCCCCCUCUAGAAAGGAUAUUCCUGAUUCUGGUCCAGUCUGUCGCGGCGGCGCGGCUCAACUCAAGCAGUGCCGUGCCACACACUGACCCAGACAGCAGCCUAGGCAGGCAAGGAAGACAAGAAACAGCCACAGGGCAUCUAUCUCCAGGCUUGCGCUGGAAGC
rnacentral:lncRNA from 1 species